rnacentral:lncRNA from 1 species
UGGAACACCCAUCAUGUAUUCCCAGACAUUUAAUGGUAAUAGAAGCGGCCUCUUUCACAAUCCAUUAAUUUUACAUAUGAAUUAAUUAUAAAAAAUUAUAAAUUAAUCCUGAUUUACAUAUGAAUAAUCCAUUAAUUUGACCAAUACGAUACAAAUUUACAAUUACAGUCAUGUUCUAGGAUCUUGGAAACAACCAACCAUCCAUGUAAAG